AUGUGCCCAGACACAGGGGACUUGAUGUGCCAGGAUGUUUAAACGCCCAAAGCAGCACGAGUUUUGGAAAUCAACUUUGGACCCUGGAAGUCAAAAAAUAUCCAGAUGCUGAGAUAAAGAGAUAGAGGACUGUGCCAGCCAGACAGCAACUCAGACAUUUCCUUAUCCCCACUGUGGAUGUGCAGAGGUGUGCUCGCUCUUAAGUGAGGAUGCACCACACCAAAACUUUGGGGAAUGAGAUGUUCAUACGCACCUCUUCUGCGAAACAGACUUCACGGUCCUGGACUUUGCAGCACUUAUCCAAAAAGCCCGAGAAAUCUGCAGUGAUGACCGCGAACUGCUCCUCUGUCAGUUCAGGCUUUUGCCUCACCAGGUUAAUGAGAAGCCUGUGGUUUAAAACAAAAGAAAAUACAGGAGAGUCUGCCAUGCAAAGCCGCACCUUCCCAGAACAUUUUUAGUAGAGCAUUUUCAGAACCCUAGCAGCCAUCCUCAGCUACCUCUCCUUCCGCUCCUUGCCAAGGCAUUCGAGAAGGACAGGACGCCUGACCAAGGGCAAACCACUGAGAGACAGGUCUCCCACACACCCUCCACCGGAACUUACUGAAGAAACCAAGGAAUGCCACCUCCAUACAGGUCUCCACUAUUUCUCCUAGAUGGAGAUCUGAAGCAGCUUCGAGUCAAACAGAACAGCAAUGCGAUAGGACACUCACCAUUCCCUCACCACAGCCAGACCAUUUCUCCUCACUGAGCUGGCAGCACGUGGCGGCAAUGCUCACCAUCUUCCUGGUGAGGUCAAUCAGCUCCGCUGAGGUCAGCUGAGGGGCUUUCCUCGUGUAACCAAUGAGGAACCUUGAAAAGGCAUUUUUAACCAUGUCAUCAUGAGUGUUCACCCCUUCCUCCUUAUCUAGGACCUACUUCUGCUGUUAGAAGGCAUGAGGCAUGUGGCCCCACAAUGAGAAGUGUUCAUUCUGCCAAUCACUCCACAUACCCCAACCCCAUCUCUCCUACGUGUCACUACAGGUUGCGGAUUGCUCCGCAGACUGUUUUCUUCCCAACCUUAGCACUUUCUUGAUUUCAACCGUGAACUUGGGGUGUUGGAACCUUGAUAGACCAAGAGCAGAAUGAAUAGCUCCUCUGCAAAAAUCUACAGGGUUUGGGGAACCCGAAGUCAAUCUAAAAGAUGAGACUUCAUGAGCUGUUCUUGUCAAUGCUUAAUGGGGGAUGACCUGGGAGAAAUCAUGUAGUCACGCUUAUACUGACUUCGAUCCAACUGGAGAUAGAAGAGUAGCAGUGCCUAGGGCCUUGAGACUAAAUGUAUGCUUCCUUCACCUAUUAUUAAUUUUAAGUUACUGAAAACAUUUCAAAACACAUACAGAGUUUGUAAUUUGUGGUCUCCUAACGUCUGGUAGAGAGCACAGCUUUGUUUGGCCAACGCCUGGCUCUCCUCGAUCUGUUUCUGAAAUUCUUCUUCCUAAAAAUACAGACAUCAUUACAUGCAUUAUUCUCUCCUCUCAGACACACAAUUUUCUACAUGCCAGUAUCCUAUUAUAUUAUAAAACCAAUCUUAGAAGCCUUUAUGAAAUAUUGAAGAUGAUAAUGCGUGACUUUUAAGAAAGAAAACAAGUGAACUCUUGAGGAUAUAGCCACUGGACAGAAGAUCUUGUCUUCCUGAAGCUGGCAAAGAUGAAUAUCAUCUCUAUUCUAUUCACCAUAAUGCUUUUAGCUAACAUUUUUAUUUCUAAUAUAAGCCAUUGGUCGCUUAUGUAAAAAGUUAGAAUAACUCAUUAGUUUCAAGAUUACUAGUUCAUAAGUAUAACUAGCUAAGUAUAACUAGCUAAUUACUAGUGAACUAGUAUUUUUAAUUUUUUUUCAUUAUCCAGUGGGGAACAUUGCCAAGGGCAUGUGUGUGUCCUACUCCAACUCUGUGGAGUGGAGUUCCUUUUCUUCUACCUUUACAUGGUACCCAAGGAUCCGGCUCAGGUUCCUAGACUCACACAACAGGCGCCUUUACCUACUGAGCCUUCUCACUCAUGGCCCACAAACUGUAUUUUCAAAGGCUACUAUCAAUGACAUUUACAGAUUAUCCCCCAAAUUCUAGUACCACCUACCAGAUUGUCCUGACAUCCAGGUAGAUUUCCAGACUGGGAACACUUCUCCAAUGAUUCCUGGUAUUUGUUAGCAAUUCUUAGAAUGACUGAGACAGGAAGGUUGGGGUGAGUUCUUGAAUAUCCGUGAAGAAAGCUUAAAUAUGUAGGAAAAAUAUCAUAUUGUUAGAACUAAGGCAACAUUACACUAUUAAUUCCCUAAGCAUUCCUAUAUAGCAGUCAGAGCAUACAGACAUUAAAAACAAAACAGUAAGUGAAGCAGAAAAACAAGCAUAAUUUGAAUUCUGUGAACAGCAAAACUAUUAAGGCAGGCUAUAUAUAGCCCCUCAAAUUACCCAGGAAAAUGUCCUUUCAUGAAAUCAUGGCAUUUGCCAGAAAAUACAUGGAACUGGAAGUCAAUAAGUGAAUAAGUCAGGCUCAGACAAAUGGCAUGUUUUCUCUAACAUACAGAACCUAGGUAUAAACUUAUGUAUGCAUG